UCUGAAUGUGACAAUGCCAUUUUUGAAGUCUUUCAAAGAGUUUUGGAGGGUUAUUACCAUCAUCCUUUACCUGGAGAAAAUGUGGCUAUGUUCUGUACUCAUCAUCAUCAUCACUACACUUUUAGGGAGAAGCAGAGGACAAUCGGUGGACCAAACAUCUGGAAUUGUGACUGCUACUGAAGGACAGCCUAUUGUUUUCUAUUGUUCCUAUGAAGCACAGAUUGGUGGCUCACAUUACCCAUACUGGUACAUUCAGCACUCUGGGCAACCUCUGAAAUUAUUUUUGCCAUGGCAUGAGAAGAAUAUACAAGGCUUCCAUGGAACUGUCCAUAAAGGCAAGACAAAUGGAACUUUCAAUCUGCAGAAAGAUGCCAGUCAGCUGAAGGACUCUGCUGCCUACUUCUGUGCCUUCAGUGACACAGUGUGA